rnacentral:lncRNA from 1 species
AUAAUAUAAUAUUAUUAUAGUCUUUAUUAUCGAACUGGGAUUGCCGGUCCACAACAUUAUUUAUAAUACUACUACAAUAUUAUAUCUUACUACUUCCAUAUUCCAUUUAUAUUACAUAGCCUUUAACGCAGCUUCCGUAUUCUCUUUUCACUCAUUCAUGCCUAGCUCCAUCCUCUUAUGUUCUUUUUCUCUCUCUAAUCCCUGUCACGCGGCCUGGCUAUUUGUGAUCUUACAACCUUCUCCUCCCUCCCCUACCCUUGUUUCUAAAAUAUAACCUCUCCUUUUCACGUCCUUCUUCCUCUUAUGACUUCCUUUUUAGUUCGCAUCUUUCGUGCUCUCCGUCUCUCUUCCAUCUUCCUGCGGGUGUCCCUGAGAGGUCGAUGCUCGGCUCGCUAUUCAACAUCUUUAUCAAUGACCUUUGUCAUUCCAUAACGCACUACCACCAUCUCCAAUGACAAGGACAAUCUCCAAAUUUACAUUUAUUUUUACGCUCAUCGAUAGUCUUUCUUCUUUACUUAAAAAAUAAUAAGACAUAAGAGAAUUUAAAAUAUACAUUUUUAAGUUUACUUUUAUAUAUUUUUAAUAAUCUAUUUUUUCUAAUACAAUAUUUUAUUUAUGUCUGAAAAAACGAGAAGUAAAAUAAUGGAAAUCAUAUAUAUUUUUAUGUGAUCAAACAGAUAGGUUAAUACAAUAAAAUUUCUAUAUAAUUAAACAAUCAAAUAUGUUGAUUUUGUGAUAGAUCGUAAAACAUAAUUUAUUUGUAUAUUUAUUACAUAUUAUUUUGACACAAAAAAUACGCGCGCAGUUUUAUAAAAAUUAAAUUAACGCUAAUUUUCUAAUGUAAUUUUUGUUUUAUUUUUGUACACUCUUCUUUUUCUACAUCAUCAUUUUACCUAAAAACAUGGAACUGUUUUUUUUGUCCUCUUUUAACUUCUAUAAAAGAAAGACUAUCGAUGAGCGAGAAAAUUGUUAUUCAUUCAGACAAUAAACCAAAAAUUAUUCAGUUCGAAUACAAAAAAUAAUGUUGUACAAGCAAUAUAAAUAAAUAUAUUACAAUAUAAGUGUCAGAAGUAUAAAGCCAGCGGCACACGAUACGAUUUUUUGUACUAUAAGUUUUGUUAAUGGAUGCCUUACAUGCGGCUUUCUUAAGUACUGUGCGUGCUCCAAUCAUAAGUGUGCUACUAGUUUUGGCUUCACACGUGCAAAGUAUUUUGCGUAUUAGGUUAAUAUUUCAGUUAAAAGAUUUUUGGAGACUCUUAUAUAUAUAUACAUAGGUGAUACGGUGCACCAAAUUUAUUUUUUAGUAUUUUAGUAAGUAUUAAAAUAAUUACAUAAAAGAUAUUAAAAUAAUUAAAAAAAAAAGAAAAAGUAAGUUUGAAUAAUACAAAAUUUUAAUUAUUAACAGUGAAUACUUGCACUACAAUGUAUUAGUACACAUUUAUAUUUUUAAUGUUUUAUUUAUAAAUUAUCUAAAUAGAAUAAAAUAUUAAUAGCGAUCAAUAAUAUAUAUUUUAUUAAUAUAACAAUAUAAUAACUGUAUUAAAUAAUUUGUAAGCAAAAAUGUAUUUUAUCUUUUUGUAACAUAACCUUUUUUUAUAACUUUAUUGAAUAGUUUUUAAUAUGCACUAAUACUAUUUAAUGCAAGAUCAGUUAAUGUUAUCAGAUUAAUUAAACAAAUUUUUACAUAAAUAUGGCAACGUGGACAAAAGAAGCUGUUCAAAUUUUAAUUGAUGCAUAUAAGAAUGAGCCUUGUUUAUAUCAAACGAGAAACCCAAAUUAUCACAAUAAAAAUCUACGUAAUGAAGCAUUGGAACGCAUUUGUGCAAUUGUCAGUACUGUCAAACCAAAUAUAACGGGAAAAGAAUGCAGUAUUAAAUUUUAUAAUUUAAGAAAUCAAUUUAAUACUGAAAACGCAAAAGUAAGAGCCUCAAUUAAGUGGUAUAGGUAGUGAAAAUGUAAGUAUAUAUAUUUAAUUAAAAUAAUGUAUAGAUUAGACAUAAUGAUUUGUAUUGUUAUGUAAUACAAAUUACAGGUGUAUAAACCUAAUUUAUGGUAUUACGAUGCUUUAAAAUUUCUGGAAGAACAUAUAGUUCCCAGAAAAAGUAAGAACUCACAUCUACCAAAUAGUACAAAAGAUACACCUGGUUUUUUGUUACACCAUGAUUAUGUACAAACAUCACAAGACUUAGAAGAAUUGCAAGAAAUGUUGGUUGAAGAUAAUAAUGUCUAUGUACAUGAAGAGGAUUUAAAUAAUAAUAAUGAAGAAUCACAAUCAUGUGCAUCUUCAUCAUCUGAUAACAUAAUUGCUACAACACCAUCGAUUUUAAAACAAAAAAAAAA